UCCUGCAGUCAAAAAAGACAGCAGGGAAAAUUUAAAUCACAACUUCAGGGAAAGCUCAGCUCAGGGAAUGUUGGGAGACAGAUGGAUGGUACAGGCUAGAAAUUCCAUGGUCCUUGGGGAGAGGGUUCAAGUGCUGUGAGCUGACACGUUUCAGCGAAGGAAAAGGAAUUUAGGGAGGUGGACAGGUCCAACAGAAGUAUCAAGUGUAUCUUCCUUCCCAAAUGGACGUCCUUUCCACAGCAUCCGACUUCUUUUCAAAUCUUUUCCAUAGCAAGGAUCCAUUACCUCACAAAUUGACCCCUUAUAUUUAUUUAUUUUUCUCCUCCAUGGAGAGCUGAGAUCUGGUUUUCCUUAACUUCCUUUUUUCUUUGUUUUCCUUUCCAGACAAAAGAAGAUUUCGUCCAACCCCUCUCCAGACUUGAAGACAACCACUCACAGUCCUGGGAUCCUCUCCUUUGUGGACCAACCAUCCUUCCUUCUUCCCCACACCAUCUGUCUACUGGCCAUUCUGGUCAGGGAACACUCCUCUUCAGAGGCGGUGCCCGGCCCUCAGCCCAGCACCCUGGCUGUACUGCAGUCUAACAUCCUGUGACCUCAUGUCGCCAUUCUCUGAACAUGAUUCACUGUUCACACAGUUGCAACAUUGCGUUGAAGGCUGCCACCUGGCUCAGAGCAGCUGAUGGACUCGGGAGAGGUAUGGAGGUAGAGAAAUGAACUGGAUGCGGAAGAUGGUGAGCCGGAGCUGCUGAGGAGUGGAAGGGAGGAUUCUAGCGUGUGGUAGGAGCUCUGAGAAAGGUAAAAUGAGUAAAUGAUUGAAGAAACAAAUGAAUGUGCUUUGAAGCAGGUAAGGUCCUGCCACCAGGCCUUGAGAAACCAUGGGCAUCACAGCCUCAAUCUUAUAGAUAUUCCCUCUGGGGGAAGCCAUGUUGUGAGCAGCCCCACAGGGCCCCAGAUAGAAGGGAACUGAAAACUCUUGACAAUAGUUGUGAGAAUGAACUUGGAAGUGGAUCUUCCAGCUCCUGUUGUAGACUGCAGGUCUAGCUCUAGCUUGACCAAAACUUAGUAAGAGAUCCCAAUGGGAACUAUCCAGUGAUGGAUGUAGUCUUGCUUCACUGAUUUUCUACAUAACCUCCGGGUGACCUCCAAUGAGACCUUACCUAUCUGGUACUUUAUCUGGUCAAAAUUCCUUGCAUGGUUAUCAUUCCUGUCUCUCUUGACUCACAGGUGGGUCAACUGACAGAGUAGGUAUUUAAUCCCUGAAAUCAAUCUCUCCAGGUUCUUAAUCCUUUGACUCUGCUGGGUCUCACUUCCUUCUAGUUCCCAGGUACAACAAGCCUUUGUAACCGUACCUUGACCUCAGCAGCCCAGGGGAGAGUUUUCACAGACUCCACCGUGAGGCAGGAGUCUUUAGCCCUGACGAGGACCUGUAUAUAUUUAUGGCCAUACUGCCACUUGAAGCCCAGCAAAGGAGAGUUGUAAGCUAAUGUAGCCUCUGCUACCACCUCAACAUAUGGCCAUAGAGUCUUUUCAUCUGUACACAGCACCCACUCUUUCAGCCAUGUUGAAAGAGAUAAUUAUGGGGAGAAACGCAAAGCUCAUUCAUUCCCAUGUAGCUGCCAGCAUGCAAUUUGAAGCCAGGCCCAGCAUAUCAGUGAGGGGGAAUACCUGAAUGGCAGAAACGUCAAAAGAAAGGCAGGCCAACAGUGGCAUCACCUGCUGAGUAUGAAAUGUAGGCCAUCAGCUUAAAGAGCCCUGCAGGCUGCCUGAGUGCAAAUGGGGUUAGGUUCUCCCUUUGUAAAAUUUCUACCUGGCCAAAAUGAGACCCUCUGGGAAGCAAAUUUACACUUCUGGUCAUUUAUUGUAACCUGCUCAUCCCUUCAAGUGUUAUUGGUGUCACUCCUGUCUUUGGCACUGCCAAGGUAAAGAAAGAGGAUGCUAGAGCCAGCACUGCUCAGUUGUCUGGGUCAAGUUUAGGAGGGUUCCCCAGGUGUACAAGCUUGGUGUGUCAUCUCUAAGUACCUCCAAUGAUGUGAUGUAGGUUAUUUUAAUUUUUCUGAUGAAGACACAGAUUUUCACAAGAUAUUCUCAAGAUCAUAUAGCUACUAAGCAGCAGAGUGAAGACGUAAAGCCAGCCCUAUCUGGCAGCGCCUGCGAACCAGGACAGUGACUGCAGGGGAUGGUGUAGCCCUGCUCCAACCUACAUGGCCUCAGGGACAGGGACUGAUCUGGCUUUAUGUGCAUAACGUCUGAAGCAACUCUUUAAUCUUACUUCCGGCUCUUCCAAGGGUGUGGGGGAAAACUGGUAUCCACACAUUCUGUUUUCACUUCCUCACAAAUAUUUAUUAUUGAAUAUGUGAAAGUAUAUUUUCAAAGAGUUAAAAGUAUGACACAUAGAAACAUAGAAUGAACUUGUGUCAAAAAUGUGUUCAACGACUGAGAGAGCUAGCAUGAAAGUAAAGCUGGUUCCAAAAACAUUUUGAAGAAUUUGAUAUUUAUAGGUAUUUUGGAGAAAGAAAAAAGUAAUUAAAAUUCCUGGAUGAGAUAUAAAACCGGUUAAUGCCCUAUGGGACUGUAAAAUCAUGACCCUGAGGUACCUGUCUGUAAAGCCGAUGUCUCCUGGGCUCUACUUUUCUAUAUAUCAUGGAACCUCACAGUAGGGGCCGAUUCCCAUCAAAUAGUUAAUGGUGAAGCCAAACGCAAAUAAAUUUCGUUACUUCGGUGGGUGUACAAAUUUUGCGGCACAUUAGAAUCACUUGGGGAGAUUUUGUAAAUCUUGAUGCCCAAGGUCGUACCUGCAUUGUGCACAAUUACCACAAACACAGUGGCUGAAAGCAACACAACUUUAUUCUUUUACAAUUCUGGAGGUCAGAAGUCUCAAAUGGCCUCACAGGGCUGUGCUCCUUCUGAAAGCUCCAGGCACAUGUCCCAGCUUCUAGGGACCACUUGUACUGCUUGUUUUGUGGCUCCUUCCUCCACUUUCAAAGCCAACAGCAAAGCAUCUCCUCCCUCUUCUCUCAACGCUGCUUCUAUCUUCUCCAAUCUGAUCCUCCUGCCUCCCUUUUGUAAGAGCAUUGUGAUGACACUGAGCCCACCUAGAUAGUCCAGGAUACUCUCCCCAUCUCAAGACCUUUAGCUUAAUCACAGCUACAAAAUGUCUUUUACCACAUAAGGUAACAUAUUUAUAGGUCCUGAGGAUUGGGUCGUGGACAUCAUUCAGCUCGUCACAUCACCCCUGUAUCAUUAAAUCAGAAUGCCUGGGAGUAGGAGCCAGGCAUCUGCAGUUUUGAAGAUCCACAGGUAUCUCCAAUGUGAAGCCAAGUUUAAAAAACACUCCCCUAACUAAUUGUAUAAUCUAUGAGCGACCCUGUUAAACAGUGCUCCAAUGCGACAUCGAGGGGGCAUGGUCUUGCCGUUGCUUUGUUUCUAAGUUUGCGAUGAUUGUUCUCAGCAAACAAGCAAACAUAUCAAAUAAUUCUCAAGUUAAAAAGCUCCACUUUGAUUAACAUCUGCAAUCAUUUCUUUGUUUUGUCCGACCUUGAACUCAAUGCUGCUCUCACUGACUGUGUAAACUUGGCAAGCUGCUAUUGCCUUUCACCCUUCUGGAAAGUGGAGCAAAUGUAACUCAUUUCUGUCAGAAUGGUGGUGACAGUGGAGGAAGGUGUAAGCUAAGUGAUUGAAAUGCCAUCUGCAAAUACGACUGCAUGCAGCACAUGCCCGUGGUCGGCUGCUGGAGGACGAGCUGGUGUCAGGUUUCCGCAGCCAAGAAUCACGCUCCGUGGACCACAAAAGACCGAAGCUUGUCAAUGCUGUUCAAAUAACUAAAAUGAAAAUAACACACGUGCUCCCACACCCACUUUCUAUCCUUCAAUUACAUCUAAUGGCUGAAAGCAAACAGAGGGGAGCUGUGAAAGCAGUUAGUGGCCACAUACCUGGGAACCUUGGUGAAGCUCCAAAAACAUAAAAUGUCUUGCAGUAAACCUAUCAUCGGGGUGCAUUUACUGCAUUUCAUAGGGUGCUGAUCCCAGGGCCUCAGGGUAAUCUUUUCACAAGAAGAAGAAACUGGUGCUGAUUUUCAACACAAACACUGGGAAGUUCAUUACAGUAGUUCUUGUCUUUUAAUUGAAACAAGAGGAUACUCCCCACGUUUGCAACACUCUGCAGGAUAUACCCGGAGGCCCCGCAAGGUCUGAAGAAUGCUUCUAGGGCUUGCAGAAAGGAAAGGUGACACUCUUCAGGGCUGCCACUUAGGCAUUUGGGAAAAAAAAGGAAUUCUAAAAUAAGAUUCCUAGAUUAGAUACAAAACCGGUUAAUGUCCCACAGACAAUGAAAUCAUGACCUUGAGGUUAUCUUCUCUAGCAAACAGAAAUCUAUAAAAUACCAUGGGACAUCCCCGCUUCAUGUAACACUGCCAGGUGACAUUCUCAUUUUUGGACUCUUCUCUGUUCUGUGCAUGUGGGCCAGCCUUGCUUUCUUUUAAUAUAACUCAACCUGGCCAGCAAGCUUCACCAGUACCCCAGCACUUAGAUCAAACUGAUAAUCACUACUUGAAUGAGCCAUGGAUCAGGUUUCCUAAGGCAGGCACUGGUUUUUAGAUCUCCUUCAGAGAGUAGAACCAAUUUUUCAAAUGAAAUCUCACGCCAAUAUGAAUGUGACAAAAUGGAGAAACUGUUACGUUCACAGUUGGCACCGCAAUGCUUCUUAGAAAAGGACUCGUGGUUGAUCCUGAUUAUGUGCCCAUUGCAUAUUUUUCAAUCUACGUACUUGUUAAAAUUUCUAACUACAAAAUCAAUCCUUGCAGUGCUUUUGCUGUCAUUCACAGACAUCUGCAGAGCAGUGAAAAAAGUAAGUCAUUGGACGGAUUUGUUCCCAGCUGAGGCUGAACAAGGCGACACUCUGCCUUUUUCUUUUGGCUCUCAAACUGUCAACAAGUUGUCCUUUUAGAAAUCUAUUUAGUGUCACAUUUUCCCCCCAUUUUUGUGCUUUUGUCAGUGAUUUUGCUUUACAACACCCCCAAGCAUAGCACUGAAGUGCUUCUACUGCCCAAGAAGCCUGUGGUGUGUCUUAUAGGCAAAAUAUGUGUAUUCCAUACAUUUUGUUCAGGCAGCAGUUACAGUGUUGUUGGCCAUGGGUUCAUUAGUUCAUGAAUCACUAAUGAAUCAACUAAAACUCUUAAAUAAGGUGUCUUUAAAGAAAACCACACGUAAAACAAAGUUAUGUACUGAAUGUUUAAAAAAUGUGACCGGAGGCUUGUAGGAACCUAACCCUGUCUUCCUGGGAGGAGCAGCUCAGGACUUCCCAAUGCAGAGUGCGUGAUUAUUUCGUAGAACAUCACCAAUUUCCAUGGAUGGAAAGAAUCAACUAUAUCUUUGGAAAAAUAUCUCGGAUGACGACUUCAGUUAGGCAGUGACACUCCAGGGGCCGAGGAAGAACUGUGCUCGUUCCCCAUGAGGAUGAUGGAGUAGACGUGGCAAAGAAGAGAGGAAGGGAGAAGAGCCGUUAGUGGGGACGUUUUUCAGCUGUUUCAGUAAAGGGCCAAGAGAGCAGAGCCUGGUGACAGGGAGCCUGAAAUGAGGUUACAGAACAGGAGCACCUACUAUUGGCUUUUCGGUUGUCUUGCCACAUUGAGUACACUGUGACUCUCUCCUUGUGACAUCUUAGCUCUUUCUUGCUUCUCAAAGCUGGGGUUUGGGGGUUUUGUUUUAUUCAUUUCCCCCAAAGAAAUCAGGUGGUUUCCUGUCUUUGGCAAGGUGAUGCAGAACUUUAUAAGGAGGCAGGAUGUCACCGAGUAGAGAGGACUGUGACAUUGGAAGCCCUCCUGGGGUCUGAAGACAUCUUGGGGAGGAUGCUGCAGAACUGAAGUCUUUGGAAUUGAAUUGGCAAUUUUAGCUGACGUGCAAAGGGCUGGGACAGCCCGAGGGACACCCGGGACACCCAUGGAGCUGCUCUGUUAGGAGCAAGAUAAAAUGCAGAGCCUUGUCCAAAUGCACUUGUCCCUGCCACCCCGAUUAACUCUGCAGAACAGAGCAUGCAAAGGCUGGACCUGAAAUCGAAUGAGCACAAUUCUUUCUUGGACAUGUGCCUGGCACAUUCCCUGACUAUGUCCCCAGGAAAGCCUCACCCAGGAUUUUUUUUUUUAAAUGCGAACCCAUUUAUUUUGGAAAAAUACACAUCAAAAUUUUAACACUCUAUGUAAGAUUAUAUGUGAUUUGUGUUAUCUCCUCUCUGAAUGUUUUAUAUUGCUUGAAUCCUUUUAAAUUAAUGGGUGUUAGU